rnacentral:tRNA from 1 species
GGAGGGGGAGGCUCAGUGGUAGAGUGCGUGUCUAACAUGCAUAUGGUCCUGGGUUUGUUUCCCAGUAUCUCCA